UCUGGUUUCUUGCUUUUUCCAUAAAAAAGCAAGUGGUGCGGAUGGGACUCUCUCCCGCCUGGUUUCCAAUUUCCAGUUAAAGAAUUGGUGGCGAGCCUGAGU
rnacentral:ncRNA from 1 species